ensembl:lncRNA novel transcript
CUCUCAUCUGUGUAAGAUGAAUCACUCCUGGAUCCAGACUGACUCCGAGGGCAGAGCCAGGUCCUGACGAGUAGAGUCGGAGUUUCGCCAUGUUGGCCAGGCUGGUCUGGAACUCCUGACCUCACGUGAUCUUCCCACCUCGGCCUCCCAAAGUGCUGUGAUUGCAGGCAUGAGCUACUGCACCUGCCCGAGAAUCUUUAAAAAAUACAGUAACCCCUCCAGCCAUGGUUGUCACAAUGGUGGGAAGAGGAGCAGAGAGACACUCUUCCUUUGAAGAUAAUACCACUUCUAAAUGGUUUACAACAAGGAGCUUCUGAGCAGAAUUGUCACACACAACUGCGCAGGACUGCGAUUGACCUUGCAUAACUGAAACCGUGGAUAAGAGAGAACAACAGUGCUUCCAAAUUGUGAUGAAUGCUCUGAAGGAGAAAAGCAAUAGAACAAUGAAAAAAGGUGUCUAUGGCUCUCCUAACCCUACCCAAGUUUCCAAAGGCUUGGGUGGGAAAGGAGCAGUUGGAAGCUGCGGACAUUGUGAAUCUAAGUACCUUACAACGGAGGCCAGCAGGAGGGAUUCCUCUGAGGGCUUCUUCUGCCUCAUGGACCUCACAGUCUUCCCUUUCUGGCAAGGACUCUUCUGGUGUGCACCAGUGUCCCAUAUUGGAUCCUGUGACUUAAUUAUUUUGUUGUUGAUUAGUAUAUUACUAAUUGAAGGAGAAAUGGAUUUCUUCACAAAUAUCAAACAGUCAAUAAGAAGAGAAAAAUGUCUGCAAAACUGGAUGACUUUCCUCACCUGUAAGGUGAGAAAGAAAUGGUUCUUUGCCUCUCAGAGUUGUGAGGAGUAAAGACACUAAUAUAGGUCAAGCACUGAGCACACAGAAGGUACCAAGGAAAGGAUAGAGUCACGGUGGCACACCCCAAAUCCUUGGGGCCAGAUGUGUUUCAGAAUUCAGACUUUGUCCAAUUUUAGAAAGGUUAUACAGCACAGAUACCGUAUAUUAUGUAAUAUUCCCAGUGGGGCCUGAGGAAACACUCUUAUUUCUGUAAUCAAACAUAUUAUUAUUUCUUUAGUCAAAUGUACGUGUGCCCACACUUGGCAUGAUAAAUAAAUACUAUAAAUAGCUUCAAA